UCUGGGCGAGGGGCGUGGCCAAGACUUGCGAGCUGGCUCGAGGAGACCAGUAGUUCCAGAACCACCCUGGGACACAACUGUCUGCACUUGACAGUUCUUGGAGCGCUGGAGACCGUUGACCAGGCUGAGGACUGACACAGGGCACUUCGGAACGCCCUGUCCCGGAGUCAUGUGGCCACCACUGGUGUUGCUGUUUCUGCUGCUUCCUGCUGCCUAUGGCGCCCCUCACCCAGCUGCCGACCUCCAGGAAAGCUUUCCAAGCGUACUCGAAGAAAUCCAAACUGAAGGAGACCGAGCCAUGUGGAGGGAAGACAACCCGUUUGCUGGCUCCCGCUGUCCUCCUGGCUCAUGAGGUGGCUGCUGUGUGGUCCAAAGCUGGGGACGAGGACCUGUGGCCUCAUGAGGGCCUACCAGGUGCAGGAUUGGGGGCUCCCCACUUCUGCUCCCAAGACUUCUUGUCCCCUCCAGGGGCCCUUCAGCUGCUGGGGCUGGGGGUGAACACCAGUUUCCUAGCAGGGGCAGAUGUGGACCUCACCAGACUCACCUGCAGCACCAUUUAAAAAUAAAAGUUAUUUCUUCAAGCUUAA